rnacentral:lncRNA from 1 species
AACCAAGCUGCCGUCGAGUGUCUGCCACGUAAGUCUCCCGAGAGUAUGGACGCUCUGGGCAGCACCAACGGUUCACCAGGCUCCGCGUCACCUGUAUCUGUAAUCUAGGUUGUUUUGCGUAGGGGAAGUUUAAGUACGGGAAAAAAAGCUGCGAAGCGGGAGCACACAGACGAUAUGCGCGCCGUUCAGCAAAGCGUUUUAGCAACUCUCGAACGCGGGCCGGCGACCCGCUGCCGCAUUUCGUUGCACACUCUUGAGAUGUUCAGUUCCCGACGAACCCGAACCUUCGUCUUCGGUUCCGCGACGUCUACACGGACACAGCAGGAAACGCGCCGCCGGAUGCUAAAAACCCUGCCGAGGUUAUGGCCUCGCCCGCACAAAGAAACCCCUUGUCCGAUAACUGGGAUUUUCUCCUCGCAAACCAACGGUCCCACCCAUAGACUCGUUUUUCUCAGAAAACCAUGGAUCGUAAGAACUGAGUAUCCUGAUUGAGGCGUCGCAGCAGGAAGUUCUUUCUUCGGAGAACGUCGGCGUGAAGGAGCCGACUGGGACCGGCCUGUGACGUGUUGCUUUCAUCUCUUUGCUCAAUCCGGGUUUCAAGAAAGCCUCCCGCUUAGCUUCCAAGAGCGCAUUCCCGCCGCUUCCGCGCCUGCACUGUGCGAACCACAUGUUUUGAAGGGCUCUCCGGUUAAAGAGCAAGUGCAGACCGCUUUUUCCCUCGGCCGGAGAUCGUCGAUCUGCCGCGUCGUCACUCCUGGUAACAUCCAAACACCAUUGCCACGGCAUACAAGUCGCUUUGGACGUGCGUGUAACUUCCCCAGUUGUCGAGGUUGAUGUCCCACAGACUUUUGCUCGACACACGGAUCCCCUGGCCGGCGUUCUCGGCGAUGACGACCUGAACGACGAUUUUAAAUCGCGGCAUCUGUUGGUGUUGCAUCGCUUGCAUCUCCUCCAUCACCCGUCCGCUGGCUUCCUGAACCCAGGUGGGGACUUGCUGUGCGUCGAAAACUUUGUCUUUGAAAAAGUCGCUCAUGACCGUUUCCAACAUGCUCUCAACUCGGGAAGGGAAGAACUUUUCCUCUUCUGAUGGACCCAAGCGGUAGGUGCAUUCAUACACCAUCAUCGAGUUGCUACCCACUCCCAGACUGGAAGGUGGGCUAACUGCGUGGUGUACCGGACUCGACAUGGUAGCCGCCAGGAAACUCGCAAGAGAAUGGCCAGAAGUGAAUGCGACGAGGGAACUGACCCGAAGAACUGGAAAGGAGGCAACGGCCGGACCUCACAGCUGGUUACAGUUGAUCAGCCACAGGAUUAGACUCCAAGCAACACACGGGUCUGGACCGUCUCACUGACCUCCCGCGUCCACGAGGGGAAACCUGUAACGAUGUACACAGAUUUCUAUUGCAUUUCGACACCGAUGGG